rnacentral:sRNA from 1 species
UCUAUCUCCCCCUUCUCAGUGUCUUUCUCUUCAGUGGACGCCAAAAGCUAAUCAACGAUAGUGUACUUGAACUGCCGAACUGGUACUCCAUUUGCCGUAACAGUGGCAUGAUCAGCCGUAUCCCAACAUUUUGAAAAGGCCUGGCUCACCAAACAGCACGUCCAACUCUCUGAACAUUCUAUUUUUGGUCUCAGGAAGCCGGAACCAUAGGUACACCAAUGAUAUGAGACAACACCCCAUCCAGAAGAAGCUGGACUUGGCACCCCAGUUCCACUCUGAGACGGAGUACAGAAGAGAUAAGGUAGACUCCUCUGCCGAGGACAAUGGUCUUUGCUUUGACACGGGUAGCCUGAACCUCUGCCGCAAUCGUCGCCAAUUGCAAGUGUGGCUUUGGUCGAGUUGACAGUUCCAAGACUUCCAAUGGUGACGUGCCAGACUACCAACAGGGCGACUCGUGCGAUGUAAAUGGACCUUCGACCGAAGUGAUGCAUAAUGUACCAACACGCAGCAGUGCCCACGAUGUAGCAGCAUGUGAUGCCGAGGUACAUGUUGAAAGCGCCAUCUUCAGUCAUUCCGUCGGUCUGCAAGCUGGUCAUUGAUCAUCAGUAGGGUUUGCAAAGUGCGCAGUAUGAAUCACACUUACUACUGCGUGGCGUAGUUGAUGAUGUUUUGGCCGGACCAGUACUGGAUAAUCCAUUGCCAUCAUGACCUAAAUUUGUAUUGGAACCUUUGAAACAGUCUAGGAAAGAAGCGCCUUGAGUUUCUGCUUUCUCCAUUUCGAUGUAGUCGCUCGGGCGUCGUCUUCGCGGCCAACUUUGACAAGGUACCAAAGACCUACAAUUCAAUGAAACCCCAAAACACGCAAUGAGGAACAAUGGUACUGGCCACACCCAUUGAACCAUGAAAGGGAUCUCCAGCCCCACUGACUGUCCAGCUCGAGAGAGGCCCGAACCACUCCGGCAGAGAACAAAAGUUCAAAGCCCCAGCAUAUAUUGACGAAUGCGGUGAGGUAACGUCGCAUGACAAGAGGGCAGAUUUCGGCAGCGUAAGCGGUGGAGAGGGCUUCUACGGAUGGUGAGGACUCACCUCCAAAAAGGAUGGGCAACGAAGUCGAAAACACUGGAAGGAAGAUAGUCCCUAUUAUCACGGCCAUGGCAGCCAAGUAAACUUUUUUGGAACCAAACUUGGGUUGUGCCAAUCCGUUGAUAGUUAGACCGAUCAUUGUCCGAUCGAGGUCGCGUUGUUCAGCGCAGCUUGCCAAUUGGCAGCGAUAUACUUCGUUCCAUCCGCAGCGGUACUACCGAACUUGUUCAAGAAGGAAGCCUGACCUCAGAACGAGUUGAUCUGAGUGAGGCUGUCAGCACACUUAUAAAGUGGUCAAGCGAUCAUGACUCACGAUGCCGGGAUCAUAGCUUUCCAUUACAAGAGCAAGGGAAAGAGCCAUGGACCACAAAGCAGCUUUGUAAUAAAGUCGGAAGGUCUUUUUGAGGCCCAGCACUUACUCUGCAGCUGCUGCCGAGAGUGCACUCUGCACAAGCGUUUGGUCAGCAUAGAAAGCCUGCUUGGCAUGUUUGCCGGCAAUACGGCUUGUCUUGUGCCGUGUGACAUCAUGAAGAUAAGGACUUUGAUAGACUAUAGACCAUGGUAAAAAGAUCGGUUUUAUGUUUUCUGCUGCCAGGAUAAGAUAGGGCAGAUCGAGUGCUGCAGCGAAACGAAGUGGUAAAAAUCACUGGUCAUAUGAUGAUUGUUCGGGAUGCGAUAAGUCAGGUCAGGUACCGCAGAGAAACGAAUUGAUAAAAAGCACUGGUGUUGAACUGCGGUCUCCAAUCGGAUGAGCGUCAU